UCCGGCUUAACACCGGCAGUCCCAAUAGAGUGCCCAGCCAAACUGGUGGCAACUAUUGGCAGGGGUUGCGCUCGUUGCGGGACUUAACCCAACAUCUCACGACACGAGCUGACGACGGCCAUGCAGCACCUGUGUGCAGGUCUCUUGCGAGAAGGAAUCCAUCUCUGGAAGCCGUCCUGCCAUGUCAAGGGCUGGUAAGGUUCUGCGCGUUGCUUCGAAUUGAACCACAUGCUCCACCGCUUGUGCGGGCCCCCGUCAAUUCCUUUGAGUUUCAGCCUUGCGGCCGUACUCCCCAGGCGGGAGACUUAACGCGUUAGCUCCGACACCGAAGGGCUCGAUCCCCCCGGCAUCUAGUCUCCAUCGUUUACGGCGUGGACUAC
rnacentral:misc_RNA from 1 species